CAGCGUUUCACCUCCAGGCAGACGCCAAGGCCAGCGAGAUACUGAACUUCAGAGAGAGAGUUCACCAGAAAGUCACCAUUUUACCAGAAAAGAGCCGUCAAGUGGGACCAACGUGACGUGAACAUGAGACGGGCACUUGUCCUCCU